CCUACGGGAGGCAGCAGUGAGGAAUAUUGGUCAAUGGCCGGAAGGCUGAACCAGCCAUGCCGCGUGAAGGUCAGUGCCCUAUGGGCGUUAAACUUCUUUUGUGCGGGAGCAAUAAUGGUCACGUGUGGCCAGACGAGAGUACCGUACGAAUAAGCAUCGGCUAACUCCGUACCAGCAGCCGCGGUAAUACGGGGGAUGCAAGCGUUAUCCGGGUUUAUUGGGUUUAACGGGUGCGUAGGCUGUGAGGUAAGUCAGCGGUGAAAUGCCCCCGCUCAACGGGGUGAAGUGCCAUUGAUACUGCCUGGCUGGAAUGCGGAUGCGGUGGGAGGAAUGUGUGGUGUAGCGGUGAAAUGCAUAGAUAUCACACAGAACACCGAUUGCGAAGGCAUCUCACGAAUCCGCGAUUGACGCUGAUGCACGAAAGCGUGGGUAUCAAACAGGAUUAGAUACCCCUGUAGUC
rnacentral:rRNA from 1 species